CCGGCGUCUGAGGUAGGCUUCCACUACAAUACCUUACUGAUGAGUCCAGUAGUGGAAGCCGGGACGAAACGCCAA
rnacentral:hammerhead_ribozyme from 15 species